UCCAGGGUGGUGCUAGUUCCCAGACCUGCCCCUCAGGCUGACUCUGUGCCACAGCUGCCAAUGUCCUUCUAAGAGGGUGCGCUGAAAAACACAGAAGCGAGAGAUGAUCCUUUUACCCUUUGAGUAAAGCAGAGAUUGGCACUACCAUGCUUAUGGUGUUCCCCCUCUGCACUACUGACUUGCACAAUUUUCUGAAGAAAUGGCAAGAUACACUGCUUUGGGAACGAUCCUGUCCUGAUUCUGGAGGUGCAAAAGCUAUUUCAUGUGUUUGGGUGAGAGUAGAGAAGAAAAGACUGCGGCUGAUCAGCAUUGCAAUUUUCUGGAGGAAGAGUUGCUCUUGUGAAGAGAUCCUGACUGAGAGAAGCUGUAAAACAGGAGUAUAAAAUCCUGAAUGGCAUGAAGAAGCUGCAUGUGAUGCUCUCGCUGGGGCCCUCUGCUGGUCACAUUCGAAGUGAAAAACCCCGAACACUCCCAACUUGAUUGGGACUCGCAGGAAAAGACCGGUAACACUUAACCAAAACACCGCCAAUUUUGGAACGGGGAUGCAAAAUUUAAUUCCUCACGGAUCAUAAAUACAUCAGCCUCUACUUAAGUGAGUUAAGAAUAAACUUUUUUUUUAGGGAAAAGUAUUUAAUAACUGCUGCAGGGCUUCUUGUGUUGGUGCUGACUUCUGUCAGAACUGUAUGAUGAAUGAUCUGGUUUGGUAGUUGUCAAUUAAAAUGUUCUGAUGCU